rnacentral:lncRNA from 1 species
AGCUUAUGGUAGAAAUUUCACAUUUGAUUCUUUGAGCGAAACACAUUAAAACUAAACACAUGUGUGAUUGAGUGUAUAUCCCGUGAGAAGGUUGCUAGUUUGCAUAUGAUGAUUUUAAAAAAAAAUAAAUAAAAUUUUUUUUGAAAUUGCAUUAGCAUGGCUAUCUCACUACACUUCAAGGAUGAUUCAAAGAUUACUGCUAAUAUUUGAACAAGGAAGAUGAACUUGGAUUAGUUUGUUUGGUGCUAGCUAUGGUUCUUGAUGAUUUGUUUUCUUGAAUGAAAUUCUAUGAGGGUCACAUAGGGGGAAACUAAUGUUUUUCAUGUUAUUACUUUUUCAUGUUUUCUUUGUUUUGCUCGAGGACUAGCAAAAGCUAAGUGUGGGGGAAUUUGAUAGGAGCAUUUUUAUGCGACUUAAUUGGCUUGUUCUCAUGCAUUUAUGUUAUUUUUCCUUAGUUAGUUUAGUGUUUAAAGUCAUUUUCGUGCAAUUUCAGGUUUUAUUGUCAAAGUAUGCAAAAAGGAGCAAUUUGGAACAUUCUAGAGCAUUUUUGGGCCAACAUUGGAUUGUGCAAGCAUGGAGACAUGAGGAUGGACGAAUUUGAAGACAAAAGAGGCUAUGAACAUGCUAAAAAUCUGGUGAAACAAAUAUAAGUUG